CACAAGCGGUGGAGCAUGUGGUUUAAUUCGAUGCAACGACGAAGAACCUUACCUGGUCUUGACAUCCACAGAACUUGGCAGAGAUGCCUUGGUGCCUUCGGGAACUGUGAGACAGGUGCUGCAUGGCUGUCGUCAGCUCGUGUUGUGAAAUGUUGGGUUAAGUCCCGCAACGAGCGCAACCCUUAUCCUUUGUUGCCAGCGGUCCGGCCGGGAACUCAAAGGAGACUGCCAGUGAUAAACUGGAGGAAGGUGGGGAUGACGUCAAGUCAUCAUGGCCCUUACGACCAGGGCUACACACGUGCUACAAUGGCAUAUACAAAGAGAAGCGACCUCGCGAGAGCAAGCGGACCUCAUAAAGUAUGUCGUAGUCCGGAUUGGAGUCUGCAACUCGACUCCAUGAAGUCGGAAUCGCUAGUAAUCGUGGAUCAGAAUGCCACGGUGAAUACGUUCCCGGGCCUU
rnacentral:rRNA from 1 species